AUUAAUUAAAUAAAUAAAAUAAAAUAUAACAGAAAUUUUUUUGGACUUGGGUCUCUCUCAUUUGAGCCCACAAAGCCAUGAAAUUCAGUCUAUAAAUACCAAGGCUUCACUUGAGAAAAAGGAAGAGAAACAAAAUACUCUGAGGUUUCCUUGGAACAAAACCUGGAGAGAAACCUGACAGAGAACUCAGAGCAGCCUCCAAACCCUGAAGGGAACUCAACUGCACAGAAU
rnacentral:lncRNA from 1 species